CACUUCCCCUUCCGCCUUCUGCCAAGGGCCCAAGGCCCAGGUGCAGCCAAAGCCUGGGCAGCCCCAGCAGGGCCUGUCAUGGGCACAGCCUCUGGACCGCCCACACUGCACCUGGAGUUAGGAGACCUGUGCUCUGGUCCCAGCAAAAAUACAUUUUUGUUUUAAACUGUGAAGGUUUGGAGGUUAUUUGUCAGCACAGCACAGCCUGACCCUCCAUCUCCAAAGAGAUCAAAAACUGAAGGAAUGGUGCCUGAAAGUGCUUCCGACGUCAAGCUAUCCUGAAGCACCAAAUUCUCAACUGUUGCCGUAUCUUUCUGUCCCAGCAAAGACCUUAACUCCAAAAAAGGCUCAAGUCUACCAAGAAGGCACCCAAACCUUCUGCACUCGAUAAAUGCAGAAGGUUUGGGUGAGGGCAGCAAAAACAGUGAUUGCCUAAUAACAAAGUGACCAAGGGUCCCUCACGCCAAUAUUGUAGCACUCUUUUUUUUUUUCUGUAAUUGUGAAUCUUCUUGGUAAAGUAAACAUAUACUAAA
rnacentral:lncRNA from 1 species